AUGCUGUAGUGGCAUGGUGGAACGAUAUACUCCGGGAUUUCUGGCCUGGGAUCGAACCCUACGGCCGGACGCAGAUUUGCACGCCCAGUCUCAUGGCUGGGCAAGGAGAUUACUUCUAGUAAUCUUCGCGCUGCGCGCCGCGUUUUGAGUGCUGUCUACUCCUCUGUUGUGUAGCGCCGAGUUGAAGUGUCCCGAUUUAACCAAUUAAUCGAUCCUUGCGGGUACGAGCUUUGAGGCCGGGGCAUGAGAAAUCUGCCCCAUAACCAGGUUUCAGCGGCAAAGUAGUCCCCUGUGCGGUUUCGAACCCGCGCUUUGUCCUCACCGCUGUUAGGGGAGUUUCAUCCAGCGACAGCAAGGACCUCCCGUGAUGGAGGCGGUCGGGAUAGCACGCUCUCGGAAAUUAGUGCUCAACCGGUAUUUUCCCUCCCCUUGCGGGUUGUGGAGUGUAUGAACCAUCAAAUU
rnacentral:SRP_RNA from 1 species